ACAGAGGCACACAGGUAUUUUGUGACACUUUUGUGAGAAUAGCUAAAUGCACUCACUAGGAAAAAUUCUUGGAAAAAGAACAGAAUAUAACUACUGGUAAAUCAAUCCAUUAUGUUUUAGGAGAUUAUCUGGUUUUGACUUAAAAGCAAGCUAAUGAUCCAGGAUACAUCAAGUAUUCAAAUUCAAGAUUCUCUUAACAUCAAUCCACAGACAACAUCUCUUCCAUUUUAGACAGCUCUGUGUCAUUAAGACCACUUACUACUAAGCCUUGUUGAAAACCCAAGAGCACAGCUAGGACCAGAUCAGCUUUUGAAGGUGGCUAUGAUGCAAAACUAGUUUGAAUUCACACAAGGGGAGAACCCAUUUCUAACAGUGAGGAAGGAAGACUAAAACUACUUAACAACAGGAGGAAACCUACCUGCUCCAAUUUCAUUU